GUGAGUGCCUUUCAGACACAGGGUCUCGCUCUUGGAGAUCUCCCUGUGUCCCCCAGGUCCUUGUGACCCGUCCCAUCCUCGGCUUCUCCUCCUCGCUCCCUGCCCUGACAGCGAUUGCCCGGGAAGGCGAGUUAGCGGCGAUGCCUUUGGGAACUGGGAGCCCAGAGCCUGAAGCUUUCCAGUGAGGGCUGGGUGCGCCCAGCCCAGUAAAUCUCCUGUACAUCUGCCUUAGGAGAGUUGCCUGCUUAUCUACAGCAGUCCCAGCACUCCCGUCUUUUAUGCCGGGGCUAUUUUCGCCUCCUUCUCUGUCACCCGACAUGGCUGCCGUGGUGUGCCCAUGCGGUGCCCUCCGCCUGCCGCCACCUGGCCUGGCUGUCCCCAGCGCGCCCUGGCUGAGCUCACAGGUGCUGCUGCUGACCCCCGGGCUUGUGUCACAGGUCCCAUGUAGUGGAGGAUUUCUUCGACAGAUUACUUUCAGAGGAUGUGAAAGGUGCAGAGGGAUCCAGUGCCUCCGGCAGAGAGCCCCAAGCUCCACUGCAAAGGCUGAACGACUUGGACGACCUGGAAGUUGAUCCGCUGGGAGCGUCGAGAGCCGGUUCUGGGCCAGGGCAGGCAACCGUGAAAGGCCCUGGGAAAGGAGAGUCUGGACCUGCGGUAGAGAAGAAGCCCCUGUUGUCCUUCGCUGCUUCCUGACAGUACAG